GACGAGCCACCCAAACGUUAUUCGGAAUUACUGGGCUUAAAGGGUGCGUAGGCGGUGCGGAAAGUAGGGUGUGAAAUCCCUCGGCUCAACCGAGGAACAGCGCUCUAAACUACCGUGCUUGAGGGAGAUAGAGGUAAGCGGAACUUCGGGUGGAGCGGUGAAAUGCGUUGAUAUCCGGAGGAACACCGGUGGCGAAGGCGGCUUCCUGGACCGACACUGACGCUGAGGCGCGAAAGCUAGGGGAGCAAACGGG
rnacentral:rRNA from 1 species